rnacentral:rRNA from 1 species
CCUACGGGAGGCAGCAGUGGGGAAUAUUGCACAAUGGGGGAAACCCUGAUGCAGCGACGCCGCGUGAGCGAUGAAGUAUUUCGGUAUGUACAGCUCUAUCAGCAGGGAAGAAAAUGACGGUACCUGACUAAGAAGCCCCGGCUAACUACGUGCCAGCAGCCGCGGUCAUACGUAGGGGGCAAGCGUUAUCCGGAUUUCCUGGGUGUAGAGGGAGGGUAGACGGCGAGGCAAGCCAGAUGUGAAAGCCCGGGGCUCAACCCCGGGACUGCAUUUGGAACUGUAUAGCUGGAGUGUCGGAGAGGCAGGCGGAAUUCCGAGUGUAGCGGUGAAAUGCGUAGAUAUUAGGAGGAACACCAGUGGCGAAGGCGGCCUGCUGGACGAUGACUGACGUUGAGGCGCGAAAGCGUGGGGAGCAAACAGGAUUAGAUACCCGUGUAGUC